rnacentral:rRNA from 1 species
GUGAGGGAAAGUUGCAAAGAACUUUGAAGAGAGAGUUCAAGAGUACGUGAAACCGCUCGGAGGCAAACGGGUGGGACCUCGAAGGUCGAACGGGGGGAUUCAACCCGUCGGUUUACUGGAUGCGGGCCUCCGUCUACGAAAGGAUCUUUCACGGACCGGAUGGAGGCUGCGGCAACCGCCGUCGGGCGCACUUCCCCCUUAGUAGGACGCUGCGACCGGUUGGGAGAAACGGUGGCGGCCAUGCGGCGAGGCAGGGCAGGUAUCCAUGCCGGUCGGCGACCCUCGAUAUCCUCGGGGAAUCGCUCCGGUCGGAGUUAUAGCUCGCUUCGUCCCGGCUCCGCUACCCAACCGAGGAGAGCGAAUUCGUUUUUCGAGACCCGCGCCCCGCGCUCUUUAACGCGCACGGGCCAUCCGGCAGGAUGGGUUCGUACCCGCUGGCCCGCACUCUGCGGCGGUCAGUGGUGGCGGCCCGCCGUUGGCACGGAUGUAGCUCCCGUAGAGGCGCUCGUGGUCUGCGGCGAGUAGGUCGGUUCCCCACCCNNNNNNNNNNNNNNNNNNNNNNCCAAGGAGUCUAACAUGUGCGCGAGUCGUAGGGUUACGCUCAAAGCCCGAAGGCGCAAUGAAAGUGAAGGUCGGCCUCGAUUGCCGUUACCUAGGCGGGAUCCGUUCGGGCUUACCGGUCGUUCGCGGCUGAGCCCGGCGGCGCACCGCCGGCCCGUCUCGACCGCAUCGCCGGUGAGGCGGAGCGAGAGCGUACACGUUGGGACCCGAAAGAUGGUGAACUAUGCCCGGGCAGGACGAAGCCAGAGGAAACUCUGGUGGAGGUCCGUAGCGAUUCUGACGUGCAAAUCGAUCGUCGGACCUGGGUAUAGGGGCGAAAGACUAAUCGAACCAUCUAGUAGCUGGUUCCYUCCGAAGUUUCCCUCAGGAUAGCUGGUGCUCGAGGAGGGCAGUCUCAUCCGGUAAAGCGAAUGAUUAGAGGCCUUGGGGCCGAAACGACCUCAACCUAUUCUCAAACUUUCAAUGGGUGAGAAGUCCGGCUUGCUUGACUGAAGCCCGGACGUCGGAUGCGAGCGCCCAGUGGGCCACUUUUGGUAAGCAGAACUGGCGCUGUGGGAUGAACCAAACGCCGGGUUACGGCGCCCGAUGCGGACGCUCAUAAGACCCCAUGAAAGGUGUUGGUUGCUAUAGACA